GGCGUGUGUGCCGUGUCGUGUUUGUCAUCCUUCCAGAGAGCUGCGUCUACCAUUCACUUGGCCGGACGUACGCGAUCUGGAUCGAUUACUUUGAAAAAAUUAGAGUGUUUAAAGCAGGCUUACGCUGUGAAUACAUUAGCAUGGAAUAAUAAUUUAGGACUUCGGUUCUAUUUUGUUGGUUUCUAGGACUGAAGUAAUGAUUGAUAGGGACAGUUGGGGGUGCUAGUAUUCCGCGGCCAGAGGUGAAAUUCUUGGAUUCGCGGAAGACUAACUACUGCGAAAGCAUUCACCAAGGAUGUCUUCUUUAAUCAAGAACGAAAGUUGGGGGAUCGAAGACGAUCAGAUACCGUCGUAGUCUCAACCAUAAACUAUACCGACUAAGGAUCAGUGAACGUUGAUUUACGACUUCAUUGGCACUUUGUGAGAAAUCAAAGUCUUUGGGUUCCGGGGGGAGUAUGGUCGCAAGGCUGAAACUUAAAGGAAUUGACGGAAGGGCACCACCAGGAGUGGAGCCUGCGGCUUAAUUUGACUCAACACGGGGAAACUCACCGGGUCCGGACACAAUAAGGAUUGACAGAUUGAAGCUCUUUCUUGAUUUUGUGGGUGGUGGUGCAUGGCCGUUCUUAGUUGGUGGAGUGAUUUGUCUGGUUAAUUCCGUUAACGAACGAGACCGCAACCUGCUAAAUAGUGGCGGCAAGCGUCUUUACGAGUGAAACCGGGGAUGUAGUCGGCUUUC
rnacentral:rRNA from 1 species